UACGUAGGUGGCAAGCGUUGUCCGGAAUUAUUGGGCGUAAAGCGCGCGCAGGCGGUUUUUUAAGUCUGAUGUGAAAGCCCACGGCUCAACCGUGGAGGGUCAUUGGAAACUGGGGGACUUGAGUGCAGGAGAGAAGAGUGGAAUUCCACGUGUAGCGGUGAAAUGCGUAGAGAUGUGGAGGAACACCAGUGGCGAAGGCGGCUCACUGGCCCAUAACUGACGCUGAGGCACGAAAGCGUGGGGAGCAAACAGG
rnacentral:rRNA from 1 species